GUGUCGGUAGUGCAACGGGUUAGAGCACGCGUACCCGGAAACGGUGAGAUGCGGGUUCGAGUCUCGUAUGACGCG